GACGAACGCUGGCGGCGUGCUUAACACAUGCAAGUCGAACGGAAAGGCCUGCAGCUUGCUGCGGGUACUCGAGUGGCGCAAGGGUGAGUAACACGUGGGUGAUCUGCCUUGCACUUCGGGAUAAGCUUGGGAAACUGGGUCUAAUACCGGAUAGGACAGCUGUUUAGUGUCAGUUGUGGAAAGUUUUUUCGGUGCAAGAUGAGCUCGCGGCCUAUCAGCUUGUUGGUGGGGUAAUGGCCUACCAAGGCGUCGACGGGUAGCCGGCCUGAGAGGGUGUACGGCCACAUUGGGACUGAGAUACGGCCCAGACUCCUACGGGAGGCAGCAGUGGGGAAUAUUGCACAAUGGGCGGAAGCCUGAUGCAGCGACGCCGCGUGGGGGAUGAAGGCCUUCGGGUUGUAAACUCCUUUCGACAGGGACGAAGCUUUUGUGACGGUACCUGUAUAAGAAGCACCGGCUAACUACGUG
rnacentral:rRNA from 1 species